rfam:Pteropus alecto contig90341, whole genome shotgun sequence.
GGCUCCAUAGUGUAGUAGUUAGCACGUCUGCUUUACAUACAGAAGGUUCUAGGUUCGCGCCCCAGGUGGAGGCA